rnacentral:rRNA from 1 species
UACGGGGGGAGCAAGCGUUGUUCGGAUUUACUGGGCGUAAAGGGCGCGUAGGCGGCCACCGCAAGUCGGUUGUGAAAUCUCCGGGCUUAACCCGGAAAGGUCAAUCGAUACUGCGGGGCUAGAGUGCAGAAGGGGCAACUGGAAUUCUUGGUGUAGCGGUGAAAUGCGUAGAUAUCAAGAGGAACACCUGAGGUGAAGACGGGUUGCUGGGCUGACACUGACGCUGAGGCGCGAAAGCCAGGGGAGCAAACGGG